AGUACACAACAACCACAAGCAAAUGAAGCUUGAAGACGAGAUUGACGGCAGAUCGAUGGCAUCGACCACCAGAUCGAUGGCGAGAUCAACGACGACAGCAUGAACGACACGAACGAAGGCAAGAUCGAACGAUGGCACGACAGAGGCGAGAUGGAACGAUGAGAUUGAACAAGGAGAUGAACAGUGAGAACGAAUGCAAUUUCCUCAUUACUGAGCGAUCUGUUCAACGAUCAGGAGGAGCUUAGGCGAUUCUGGCAUUGAGAGCUACAUUUCCUACUGCUCAGUUUCUUAUUUCUAGCCGGUGUUCCAAGAGUUUCCUUGUGGUGCAAGGUACGAUUGGAUCUUUCGGUGAGUUGAGCAGUAUAAUUCUGAGGUAAGGGAAGC